UUUGUAGUCAUCUUCUCUAUCGAUUGGCGUAUGUUUUAUAGGUGUACACGAAAAUAACUUUUGGUAUGCCACGCUCCAUACAAAAAGGUUCAAACUCUUUU